rnacentral:lncRNA from 1 species
CUUAAGUUUUCAUUUUCGACCCCAUUUGGUCACUGAAAACUGUGCCGAAUUGUAAUCUUUAUCAGAUAGCUGUCGGAUUUUAUUUCUCACUCUACGGGUGUCAGAAAAAUAUGAAACUUUAAAUCUAGCCUCAUAAAAAUAUUUCUGACUUAUCCUUCAAUUUUCAUAAUUUUCUGAGACUGCAUUUUCUGCUAAUUUAUCUGUCCCGUUUCCAACAGAAAAUUUUAGAUCUUCUGUUUUCAUUCCGAUUUCAGCACAAGUCACUUCUGACUUAUGUUUUACUCCUACAAAUUCAAUAAAAAUAGUUUCUCACACUAUUUUUAUUUAUUUUUAUUUUUAUACCAAA